GUCAGUACCCUGUCUAUCCCACCAGAAGUUUGAGAGGGUGAAGACUGUGGCGCUGGAAUUGAAGAGCAUCAAAGUUGUUUCACCAUGGCACAUGAUCGGGGUUGACCUCAUCAGACCUUUCAUGAAAUCCAGGAAUGGCAACAGCUAGUGAAGACAUAGCUAAAGGGUACUUGACGAGACUGGCGAUGCCACAUCCAAGGCAAUGAGGGACAUCUUCAACACCUACGGUUUUCUUGAGGUCAUGAAUGCUGGAACAAGUGUCAGUAGAUAUGCCUACUCUCUCCUCCAAGUUUGGUGAAUGGACCAAGCAGACCAUGGGCAAGUCCCUUGGCGGCUACCAGGAACGGUGGGAGAACAACCCAAAAGUAAUUCUCUUUGCACACAACAGCAGCGUCCAGGCCUCCACCGAGUAUGGACGGAAGCCGCAGCUGUUGACUGAGGUGGACAAUGCAAUUGUAUUUACAAUUAUUGCAUAUACUGUAGUCUUUCAAAUAUGUGACUGACUUAGUGCUGUUGUUUGUCUAUUGCUUUUUUUGUAUAACGUACUUUCAGAUCACUGAAACCCCACCUGAUGUGGUGGAAGAUGUCGAACCAGAUCAGAACGCCUCCGUUUUUGACCAGAUUAAAAUUAUUUUAUGCUGUAAAAAAAUGUCUGUCCCUCCAAGAGAUAUGUAAGAAAUGCAUUUGUAAUAUGAAAUAUAAUUGCAUUUAUUGCUGUUAUCAAUCAAGGUGAGACUGAACAUUGACAAGGCACAGGAGAAACAGAGCUACCGGAGCAGAAUCAAGAAGGGGACCAAGUGCUACGACAUCCGGGCAAAUUGCUUGGUUUGUAAGCAGGAGGAUGGAAGGCAAGACCUGGGAAACCUUGCUGCUUAUUCUCUCCUAGCUGUGGUCACCAUAUGUUAAGGGUUACCUCGGUGGAAGCCAACAAUCUUCUCCAGUUGGAGCAGUUGGGGGGUCAACCACUGAAAGCCCUGACACCCUACACUUCGGUGAAUCCCAAUAA